CCUACAAACAUUUUUUUUUUCUAAUCAAUGGUUACAGAAUGGAGAGCACCAAAGAAAUAGCGACUUUAUAAUGUGUUGUGGGAUCCUAGAUUAGGUCUUGGAAAAGAAACCGGAACUAAACAGAAGCAGCGCUGGUGCUUGGUGCAGGUCUACCGCUUAGCUAACGGUAGGCAUUGUACCUGCGCUGAUUUCCUGGUUUUGUUCUUUGUACCGGGAUUAUGUAAGAGUGACACACAAGCGGCAGUUGGGUAAAGGGCACACAGGAACAGAAGGCGCUAUUUUUACAAUUUCUGUUGGUCUAAAAUUAGUUCAGAAUUAAAAUGAAAUAACAGACAAAAACACCUGAAAAGACUCUACAAGUGAGCCAGUGUGAAGAAGACACAGAGCCCAGGAGAAGAAAGAACAGGAAUGGCUGUAUAGUCACAAAGGAACAGGAAGCAGACAGCCAGGAGCUAACACAUUACAAAUGAAAAAGUUCCCCCUCGGAUCUUAUGGAAAUCCAGACUAAAACAAGGAUUCUGCCUGAUCUUCAAGCAGACGCAUUUGGCCCUGUACACCAGUCCGCAGAUGAGAAUGAGAAUGCAAGAAGCAAAGACACAAGGCCACUGUAAGGGAUCCAGAAUUACGGGAUGAUUGUCUCUGCCGUCCUAGAUAGUGGAAAACUCCAUAGCUGCACGUUCAGGACCCGCCACUAGGUGGUACACUGCUUCUCCACAGCUCCUUUCGGACAUUUUAAGCUUAGUGAGCUAUGCGUGCUUAACUGAGGAGGAGCCAAUUUCAUCUGUUGUCAUCAUUCUGAAGACUAGAAUUAAAGAAAUGUUUUUAUGAGAUUUAAGUUUUCUGUCUAGACUGAUGAUGGGGGUGCUGGUCAAGAUCCUGGGACUCAGAAGAGGGUCAGAUCAAGAUGUAGAACUCUCAACUACCUCUCCAGCACUUUGUCUGCCUGCAUGUCACCAUGCUUCUUGCCACGAUGAUAAUGGACUAAAUCUCUGAACUGAAGAAGUUAAGGCCAAAAGAAACCAACCUAGAGUCUGUAUGGUGAUGUCAGAGAUCCUGAUCAUGCCUAGCCAAAAAGGAAUGACCAAGUGGUGUUUCCUGAGAGGUCCUGAUCAUGCCUAGUCAAUGAGGGAUGAGCAUGAAAUAUCAACUGUCCAUGGACCAGAAAGCCUGGGUGCUGGAGAGGGUAUGUAAGUUUUCCCCACUGUUAA